rnacentral:rRNA from 1 species
UACGGAGGGGGCUAGCGUUGUUCGGAAUUAUUGGGCGUAAAGGGCUCGUAGGCGGCGUAUCGCGUCGGGAGUGAAAGCCCGCUGCUUAACGGCGGGUUGGCUGCCGGUAUGGGCAUCGCUGGAGUGCGGCAGGGGAGACUGGAAUUCCUGGUGUAGCGGUGGAAUGCGCAGAUAUCAGGAGGAACACCGGUGGCGAAGGCGGGUCUCUGGGCCGUUACUGACGCUGAGGAGCGAAAGCGUGGGGAGCGAACAGG